GCGGUGGUAGCUCAGCUGGAUAGAGCAUUUGGCUACGGACCAAAGGGCCGGGAGUUCGAAUCUUCUCCGCCGCA
rnacentral:tRNA from 1 species